GGAUUGUGGCUCAGCGGUAGAGCGCUCACCUAGCAUGUGCGAGCCCCUGGGUUCGAUCCCUAUGUCCA
rnacentral:tRNA from 1 species